UAAAGGUGCAUGAGUGGUAUUUGGUUUGAUACGGGUGGUCGGCUCCCUGCUUGAGCAGGCACGGCCACGCGUGCAUUCCUUUUCAGUUGUCCGGCAAGGCUUGUAUCGUCUUGAUCGUAUAAGUGGGUUUCUUGUGUUGCAUACCUGAUUAAUGGCAUCGUUUUGAUCAAAAGUGUAUCUUUUUCGUCUGGCAAUGCACCCGCAUUGUCGGAUGAACUGAGCAGCAUCCUCUUUGAUCCAUAAAGUUGACGUGCAUUCGUUGAUUGUUUGGCCCGUUGAGGAUGGCUUGGUCUCUUGGAUAUGGAAGCCAAAGUGGGCAUGGGUUCGAAAGAUCCCUUUACUGCCCUCAUUGAGCGUUCUCGCUUCUCUUACACGACUGCCUUUCACGUAUGGCACGUCCCAGCGUGUUUGGCUACGUCGAAGAGGAAUGCUACCUGGUUGAUCCUGCC
rnacentral:misc_RNA from 1 species